rnacentral:rRNA from 3 species
ACCUGCGAAAGGAUCAUUA